rnacentral:rRNA from 1 species
CCUACGGGUGGCAGCAGUGAGGAAUAUUGGUCAAUGGACGAGAGUCUGAACCAGCCAAGUAGCGUGAAGGAUGACUGCCCUAUGGGUUGUAAACUUCUUUUAUAUGGGAAUAAAACAGGGUAUGCAUACCCUCUUUUAUGUACCAUAUGAAUAAGGAUCGGCUAACUCCGGGCCAGCCGCCCCGGUAAUACGGAGGAUGCGAGCGUUAGCCGGAUUUAUUGGGUUUAAAGGGAGCGUAGGGGGGUUGAUAAGUUAGUUGUGAAAGUCUGCGGCUCAACCGUAAAAUUGCAGUUGAAACUGGCAGUCUUGAGUACAGUAGAGGUGGGCGGAAUUCGUGGUGUAGCGGUGAAAUGCUUAGAUAUCACGAAGAACUCCGAUUGCGAAGGCAGCUCACUGGACUGCAACUGACACUGAUGCUCGAAAGUGUGGGUAUCAAACAGGAUUAGAUACCCUGGUAGUC